rnacentral:rRNA from 1 species
GAUGAACGCUGGCGGCGUGCCUAAUACAUGCAAGUCGAACGAGGUCUUCGGACCUAGUGGCGAACGGGUGAGUAACACGUUGGUACCUACCCCGAAGUGGGGAAUAACUGCCCGAAAGGGUGGCUAAUACCGCAUAAUACCGCAAGGUUAAAGCAGUAAUGCGCUUCGGGAGGGGCCUGCGCCCCAUUAGCUAGUUGGUAGGGUAGUGGCCUACCAAGACGACGAUGGGUAGCUGGAUCGAGAGGUCGACCAGCCACACUGGGACUGAGAUACGGCCCAGACUCCUACGGGAGGCAGCAGUAAGGAAUCUUCCACAAUGGACGAAAGUCUGAUGGAGCAACGCCGCGUGCAGGAUGACGGCCUUCGGGUUGUAAACUGCUUUUAUACGGGAAGAUUAUGACGGUACCGUAUGAAUAAGGACCGGCUAACUACGUGCCAGCCGCCGCCGUAA